rnacentral:rRNA from 1 species
CUUCCAUUGACCAAUGAGGCAGUGAACAGUGAACACACACAUCAUCGCCCAAGUACAAAUCUACACAUCUGCUUCCGGCUUCAGGCCUUGAUCCAUUCUUCCUCCAUCUCCUCCAUCAGGCUUGAGGCUUCAACCAGAUCACAACUCUCAAGUUACCAGCUAGCCAUGGGUGCCAAGACCACCUCAUGCUUCACCUUCCUCAUGGAAGCGCUGGUCCUCCCCACGCGAAACCCCAAGCUCUUCGCCCCCAUCCUCAUCCUCCUGGCCAUCAUCGCCUUCCUCGUCCCCGCGGUCAACGUGGUCCUCAUCCAGCCGCUCACCGCUGAGAUGCUCCGCCACGUCACCGAGAUGCAGACCACCGACCCCUCGAGCGCCGAGUUCGCCAGGCUCCUCGAGGAGAUACGGCAGGAGGCCAGGGAGCUCGUCCUCAUCGCCGUCGGCCUCUUUUUCGUCACCCUAGCUCUCGUCUUCGCCAAGCAGAUCCUCGCCUUCUCCGCGGCCUCCACGACUUACUCCGGCGACCGCUACUCGCUCGCGGAGCUCCUCCGAAGGGUGACCGAGUGGGGCAAUCUGAGGGGCCCUCUCGUCACCAUGGGCGUGGUCACCGCGCUCCAGCUCACGUUCAUGGCGCUACUGGGCACCUACCUCGCCACCGUCAUGCGCCACGCGGGGGCGCUCUCCGUGCAAGGCGCGCUCUUCGUCCUCGCCUUCCUGGCCUUCAUGUACUUCGGGGUGGUGGCCGUGGUGGGCGUCGCCGUGUCGGUGGCCGACGGGGGGUGCCGCGGCGUGCGCGCGCUCCUGCGGGCGUGGCGGCUCAUGACGCGGGUGAGCAGGAAGGAGGGCGCCCUGCUGGCGGCGGUGAUGGUCCUCCUGUCGACCGCUGUGAGCCCGGUGUACGCGCUAGCGCUCGUGUACGCCAAGAAGAGCAUGGCGGUGGGGCUGUGCCUGCUGUUUGGGUAUGCUCUUCUGUCUGCUACGGUGGAGCUGUUCUACAUGGCGGCGGCCACUGUGUACUGCUAUGAGGCCAUGGAGAGCAAGGAGGUGGUCCUAGCUUUUGAUGGCUAUGCCAAGAUACCUUCCGGUGAGGCAAAUGUCUGAUCGAUCGGCCGGCACCGUAUAAUGAGUCAUAUACUUUGUGGUGCUUCCUAGCUGUGCGAUCAUUAUCAUUGUACUACUAGGCAUAUAUGGUACUACUAGUACAAAUGCCCGUGCGUUGUACCGGACAAAAUAUUAAGUAUAAAUUGCUCCACGUGCCAUUAUGUAACAUUUUUUCAUAUAAUUUUUUGCAAACAUUAGAAAUAAGGUCAAUGUAACCUUUGAGUGUAGCAAUUACGAUCUCAACGCACCGCGAUCUAGUAGUGUUCGUGCAACAGGACUGUAAUGACUGAAAUUGUUGUCUUUCCUCUAAAAGAAGCAGAAAAAAGGCAACUUGCAAAAAGUAGGGCUCGACAAUAUUUUUAUCUGUGGUGACGACUGACCCUGUUUGUCCUUCCUAGGUUGCGGCAACAGGACAACCC